rnacentral:lncRNA from 1 species
UUGAGCCAUGUCAUACCCAUAUAAAUAUAUAUAUAUAUACAAACGUAUCAUACCAAAAUCAAAAGCAGCUCUGAAUCAAGUAGAGCACACCAACUCUCACUGAUCAGGGAUCCUAAGGAGGGGGACCGUCAGCUUGCCUACCUGCACCUGCAGGCAUGAAACGCAGGCCCUGUGAAAUAGGGCGUCAGUACGAAAAAUGUACUGAGUAUGUAAGGCAUGAAAAUUAGUACGUAAAAGACAUAGAUGAAACAUGGAAUAAGGAAACACAUCUUUAAAUCUGAAUAACUUUAUAAAUUCUGAAACGUUUAUAAUGUCAUGGACAUGCGUAUAAAUAUCGUGUCAUGCAUAGGUAUGGGUAUACAUAAUAUCAUCAAGCCACUGAGGGCAUCACAUCAUAUCGUUUCGGCCACUGUGGGCACAUCAUCAACAUAUACCAGCUGAUCAGGUGGUGGUGCGUAUAUAACGCCGUAACCUUUUUCCCCUAUCCCAUAUACAUAUAUUUACAUAUAUACACGUAUGUAACGCCAUCUGGUCAUGGGUCAAUGCACAUGUAUAAAUGAGUGAAAUGCAUGAAAAAUACGUAAUCAUCUCAAUACUCUUUCCGGAUAAAUUUUUCCAACUGCGUAUUAUUUUGAGACCCAUGAACAGAAGAUAAUAAUAUUUUUCAUGGGGAAUUAAAAUAUAGACACCCCUACUAUUUCUAUGAAUAGAGUAAUUUAUGAAAACUGUGUGUUUGCUCGUUUCUUCAGUAUAAUUGGACCAUGCCAAAAGAAAGAAGGGAGGGUCUUAACAUACCUGUUCCUGGAGUUAUUUGAACGGAAUGAAGCUUCUGCUUCUGUGAAAUAUGUUUGAACGAAAUUCUGCUUGAAUCUCUUGAAAUUUUGAACCGAAAUUUGGUUGCUCUUUAAAAUUUCUAUCCAAAUUUUGGCAAGAAUUUGGACAAAAAUGUUUUUUGUUCUUUAACGUUUUUCUUAAAGAAGAGAUGUCUUUGAAGUUUAACCAAGAAUCGGUUAUUUAAUCAUGCUUUUGUAAAAGCAACACUUGCUUGAUAGUAGGAAAACAGAAAAGAAUUAAGGAAUAAGGGGUAAAAGGUCUUUUAUUCUGAUAUCUUAUUAACAUAGAGGCAAAAUCCCAGGCAAGAUUUUG